rnacentral:lncRNA from 1 species
UGCUUAUUUGACAUGUAAAUCUAAGUCGUAUACUCACGCAAACCUAAUGUGAUUUGCAUUUCUAUUUUCGUAGACAGUUUCUAAUUAGUUAUAAUCUCGUAUUAUAGCUCAUAGCAAUACUCAUAAGUUCACCCAAUGAGCCAGAACUCAGAGUCAAACAGUAAAGCACGUAUAUAUUGAUGUAUAUAUGGAUGUAUUAGUUACGAAUAAAUUACAACAUCUCCAUAACUAUGAUAUAACACAAGCUAGUCUAGCUAAUAUUUCAGUAUAAACUUAAAGGGACCAUUUUUUCAUACCAAAUAAAUGCCCAUUUAAAAAUACAUAGUAGCUUCGUUGAGUUUAUGCGUUUGUUGUUCGUAAUCAAAAUAACCUAAGUAUUAUUGAAAAAAA